UUGACCUCGAAUCAGUAAG
rnacentral:rRNA from 1 species